CAGUCGCCGCGGGAAUACGUAGGGUGCAAGCGUUAAUCGGAAUUACUGGGCGUAAAGCGUGCGCAGGCGGUUUGUUAAGACAGAUGUGAAAUCCCCGGGCUUAACCUGGGAACUGCAUUUGUGACUGGCAAGCUAGAGUCUGGCAGAGGGGGGUGGAAUUCCGCGUGUAGCAGUGAAAUGCGUAGAUAUGCGGAGGAACACCGAUGGCGAAGGCAGCCCCCUGGGCCAACACUGACGCUCAUGCACGAAAGCGUGGGGAGCAAACAGGAUUAGAUACCCCAGUAGUCCCUGUCUCUUAUAC
rnacentral:rRNA from 1 species